AUUGAACGCUGGCGGCAGGCCUAACACAUGCAAGUCGAACGGUAACAGGAAGAAGCUUGCUUCUUUGCUGACGAGUGGCGGACGGGUGAGUAAUGUCUGGGAAACUGCCUGAUGGAGGGGGAUAACUACUGGAAACGGUAGCUAAUACCGCAUAACGUCGCAAGACCAAAAAGGGGGACCUUCGGGCCUCUUGCCAUCGGAUGUGCCCAGAUGGGAUUAGCUAGUAGGUGGGGUAACGGCUCACCUAGGCGACGAUCCCUAGCUGGUCUGAGAGGAUGACCAGCCACACUGGAACUGAGACACGGUCCAGACUCCUACGGGAGGCAGCAGUGGGGAAUAUUGCACAAUGGGCGCAAGCCUGAUGCAGCCAUGCCGCGUGUAUGAAGAAGGCCUUCGGGUUGUAAAGUACUGUCAGCGGGGAGGAAGGGAGUAAAGUUAAUACCUGUGCUCAUUGACGUUACCCGCAGAAGAAGCACCGGCUAACUCCGUG
rnacentral:rRNA from 1 species